GGAAUGUGGCUUAGUGGUAGAGCGCUUGUCUAGCAUGCAUGAAGCCCUGGGUUCGAUUCCUCAGUACCA
rnacentral:tRNA from 1 species